GGCCAGACUCCUACGGGAGGCAGCAGUGGGGGAUAUUGCACAAUGGGGGGAACCCUGAUGCAGCGACGCCGCGUGGGUGAAGGAGCGUUUCGGCGCGUAAAGCCCUAUCGGCAGGGAAGAAGGAGGACGGUACCUGACUAAGAAGCCCCGGCUAACUACGUGCCAGCAGCCGCGGGAAUACGUAGGGGGCAAGCGUUAUCCGGAUUUACUGGGUGUAAAGGGAGCGUAGGCGGUUAGAUAAGUCUGAUGUGAAAGCCCACAGCUUAACUGUGGGAUUGCAUUGGAAACUAUAGAACUAGAGUGUCGGAGAGGUAAGUGGAAUUCCUAGUGUAGCGGUGAAAUGCGUAGAUAUUAGGAGGAACACCAGUGGCGAAGGCGGCCUGCUGGACGAUGACUGACGUUGAGGCUCGAAAGCGUGGGGAGCAAACAG
rnacentral:rRNA from 1 species